UUGAAACAGAAAUUGGGUACUGCUACUCAUGGUUAUUUCAGUGGAAUAUGUGUUCUCUCCCGUUUCUAGAUUACGAGCGUCUGUGUUUGAGAGUAAUUUGAGAAGAGAAAUUGGGAUCUGGGAUCCUUUGCAAUGAAAAUGGAAUGGAGAAAAGCAUUUUGUAACGAAAUCGCCGGUAGGAAAUAUCAGUUUCCCGAAGGAUCCCGAAGAGCGCACCAGGUUACCGAACCGGCACCAGUUUUCCGAGGGAGGCAUCGGGUUUCCUUGCAAAAUUCGAUGUAUAUUCUCUUUGGUCAUGUGUUGAUACAUGAUAGCUAAGAAGUACGGACAUUUCAAAGAAGGUAGCGUGUGGACAUCCUAUAUGCGUUGGGCACCGACAUUUCUUGGGCAGUUCAAAGGUGGUUUUGCAGGGGAGCCUAAAUGUCAAGGCAAAUAGGAGCAUAAAUUCCAUAAUCUAAUGUUGAAAAAGCCCGGCAGGUAAGAAGUUCUUUGAUCAGAUACAUAGUGGAAUACGCCGGCAUUCUGACGAUUUUUGCCAUUACAGUUCAAGCAAGAAACCAUGUAUUAAGAUUUAGAAUUUCUCCAAGAGUGGUGGAAGCAAUAGGUGUCUUUCUAAGACUCUAUUUUCCCUACUUUUUAUUUAUACUUUUUCAUGCCUUUUUGGAUUUUGAUGUUAUCAUCACAAUGAGUUAACUAACUACUUGAGCUAUCAAUGGUUGUGCAUCUUCAUGUGAUUAGUCAUCGUAUUAUUCUAAGAUGGAUCUGUACUAGAAAUAGGAAAAAGGCAUGAGGAUAAAAGAGAGGAAGAAAGGAGAUACAUGAUUCGAGACAUUUGUGUAAUGAGAUUGUUAGAGAUAGGAAGUUGUAGGCAAAGACAAAUCAAUGACGAGAAAAAAAGAGUAAUUAUUUGGCUCAUUUUUUAGUUCCAAUAUUGGAAUUGAAAAGAGAGACAGAUAGAUGAAGAAGAGUGAAUAAUUAUUGGUGCUGAUAAAUUAUGGGUUUGAUUGUAAGAUCUUGUUACUUGGACGAUGUGUUUGUUGAUGUAUAAAGUACUCUCUUUGUAGAAAAAACGAAAUGAACAACUCAAAAUUUAUGUUAAUUACUAACGAUUUAGAAGUUUUUUUCAUUUGUUUGGAAAUAAAAAUAUGGCUGAGCAUUAUGGUCAUCAUUGUGGCACUUUU